ACUCGCCGUGGAGCUGUCAGAGCUCUGUGGGGCACGGUUACGCACGCAGCAGCCGGUCCCUUCAGUUUUUCCGGUAGCGUCCACCUUCGUCGACUGUCAUCGCCGGAUUGCGCGACAUUCCUCGCGCGAGUCCACCGUCGGUCGAGUUUCUCGAUCGAUCUGCUAGGAUUUGAGACCGUGGAUCGUAGCAGCGACAAUUACGUUCUUGUGUCGCCACUUCACUCGACAGGACUGUCUCGAGGAUUUCCGAUAAUUCAGGACGUUUCCGAUAAUUGGAGGAGCCGCCGUUCGCACGAGAUUGCACGAUUGCGGGAUACUCGAAGUGUCAGAAGUGCCUGCAACGCUCUGUUAGCUUUCCAAGGGAGCCGAGUAAGAAGAUAUGGCUCGGCAGUUGGACCCCACCGGUCUCUACUGAAGACGUUUUUCUCUCUGCGAUCGAGCAACUACAUACUUCCGCUUUCAGUGUUGUUGUUGAAGAUCAUUAUCAUCGACAUGGCAGCAGGAGGAUUGGACCCCACCGGUCUGUACUAAAGUGCCGUCGAAUAUAACUGCGUUUCUCGAGACCGCUCAUAUAUCCAUAUUCCCCCUCCCCCCCCCCGAAGGCGAGUUUCGAUUGACUUUCAAUUAAAAUUGUGCAACAUGGCUGGACUCGAUCCGACCGGUCAGUAUUGAGAAGGUGAAGGAAGGUCCGGAAGAAACGAAGAAGCAGAAAAAAAAGAGAUACCUCAAGGUCACGAGAUGGCCGCUACCGGGGGUCUCGAUCCGACUGGACAAUACUAAAAUAUCAAAACCUCCGAAGCUAGAAGGAAACAUCAUCGUAAAGCGAUAAUAUCGCGAUAAUGAAAGAAGUGAGAGGAAGAGAGGAAGUCUCAUCUUCCAACUUGAGGAGACUGAGAUGGAGCAUCCAUAUUCGUAAGGGACGACAUCGAAUAUUCCUCGUGGAACGCCAAUGAAGAUGCCGAAUCUGCCUACGUACAGGGAAUCGACCAGCAACGACAUCACUGCCGUCGAGUAGCUACAUCUCCUCUUGGAACUGACAAACGUAAAGACGAUGGAGUCUGCUCGAGAAUGGAAGGAACUUUACACUGCCAUGGAAAUUCGCCGCCUAGUCGUUCCAUUUCUUUCUUCAUCUCGGUCUCUCGCGGAGACACGUGCGACUCGAGAGCAAAAAUAUGGACACCCAGGAAAGAUCGCACGCGUUUCUUUUGACGCCUGCGACAUUACGAAUACUGCCGAUGUAAUAACCACGACAAGACGCUAUUUUUUUUAUUUAUAUCACCUUUUAAGACACGGUGGACACGAAGAAACGUGAUAGAUAUGACCGUCACGAGGAUAUCGACGCUUCGGCCUCGAUUUUCGCCAAAAGAAUUCCUUUCGCUAUUAUCCGAUACUUUAUUCUCAUUAUCAUUGCUAUUAUUAGUCGCUACUUGUCCGCCACCGAUUGAGACAUUAUUGCGUGCGCAAUAAUAUUGCGCUGUUACCGUUAUCAUUAUAUUAUCAACACUAUCAUGAGUAAUAUGAUCAUCGUUAUUACAUCUUUUUCUUGCUUCGAAUGUCGAUGAUAUUUUGAGUGUUACAUAUGGAUUAGAAAAAACAGUAAACAGAGUUAAUUAUUUAGGAAAAUCCUGUUUCUUCUGUUGAUGUAGCUUCUUAAUAUUCAUAUGUUAUAUAAACUAUCAAGAAUUAUGCAGUCAAUGCAGAUAAAUUUAGACGAGGCAUUAAAUCACUGCUAUUAUAAAUAA